UUUGGCGAGUUCCUCGGCCGGCUCCGCCUCCGAGCAGCUCAGAAAUCCCUCCGGAGGCCGCCGGCAGUCGUCGCGCCGCCGCCGCCAUGAUCCACCUCCGGAGGCGCAUCGUGUCUCUCCUCCUGCAGCUCGAGUCCCAUGUCCCCCAUGCUGUAGUAAUUUCUCCGCUCAUAUCCCUCCGCCGCGCCGUCUCCGCCACCGCGCCAGCUUCCCCCAAACCCUUCGCCGUCGAGGAGUACCUCGUCGCCACCUGCGGCCUCACCCGGGCCCAAGCAGCCAAGGCUUCGGGGAAGCUCUCCCACCUCAGGUCCCCCUCCAGGCCCGACGCCGUCCUCGCCUUCCUCUCCGGCCUCGGCGUCUCGCGCCCCGACAUCGCCGCCACCGUCGCCGCCGACCCAGGGUUGCUGUGCGCCAGUGUGGAGAAAAACCUAGCUAGACGCGUCGCCGAGCUCGGCGACCUGGGCAUCUCGCGCUCCCAAAUCGCGCGCCUCCUCCCUCUCGCUACCAACACCUUCCGCAGCUGCUCCCUCGCCACAAACCUCGGUUUCUGGCUCCCGGUCUUGGGCUCAUUCGAGAAGAUCCUAAAUUGCCUCAAGAUAAACAGCUCCAUCCUCAGCGCCAGCCUCGAGAAGGUGGUGAAGCCGAACCUGGCGCUCCUCAAGGAGUGCGGGAUGGAUGCUUCUGAUAUUGCCAGUUCUUCAAACCUCUACUCCAGACGGCUGUUCACCUUGAAUCCCAGCUAUCUCCGGGACGCCGUGGCACGAGCGGAGGAGUUAGGCCUAGACCGCCGUUCUCGGAUGUUCCGGUACGCACUCCUUGCGGUGGCCUUUACAAGCAAGGAGUCUGUUGCUACGAAAUUACGGAUCCUGGAUGGGCUUGGGUUUUCGCGGGAUGAUUUCUUAUUGAUUGUUAGGAGGGCGCCCAAGAUUCUGUCAUUAUCUGAAAAAAAGAUACGGCGAACUGUGGAGUUCCUCAAGAGGGAUAUUGGACUGGAGGAACGGUACAUUGCACAAAGGCCAGCACUGUUCACUUAUAGCCUUGAAAGGCGGUUGUUGCCUCGGCAUCACUUGCUCAAGGUCCUCCGGGCAAAGGGAUUGCUGAAUUGCGAGUUGGAUUACUACCGCACAGCCACAGUGGGUGAGGAGGAGUUUGUGCAAAGGUUCGUGGAUCCUUAUAAGGACCACAUUCCAGGCCUCGCUGAAGCUUACGCAUCCCGUUGUUUUGCGAAAUUAAAUGGAGUUGCUUCACUGCUUGGACUGUAGACUGAAAUGGAUGGUGUUGAAGUUCCUCUGUCGAUUUUGGCUAGAUCGUCGCACAGGAAUGCAAAUUAUUAAGUAGCUCUGAUGAUUGAGAAUGACAAUGGUUUAUGGCAAUGGGUUUGGAAUAAAAAGGCAUUGAGAUUUUAUCUGACAGGCUAAACACUGGAUGAUCCAAGCUGUUGGGCUAAAAUAUUUAAUUGGGAAUUUGCUUUGAAAAAAAAAAGGUGCUAGCAGGUGUUGCAAAGUGAACAAGAAUAGCAAGGUUUAGAGUACCUGCUGACAAUCCAGUAACACACCUUAGAUUUUGUAGCAACUAUCACAGGAAUGUGCUCAAACACAAUCAUGUUGGGGUUUAAUUCAAAUAUUCUCUGACAAGUAACCAGACUGCCAAACAUGGGUUUAGCCAUGCUGGGACUGUUCUUGUUCUCUUUCUCUGAGAUGACUAUUAUCAACUGUGAUUGAAUUGUAGGCUAACAUGACUUACAAGUUUUUACAACAUGCUGGGUGCUAUGUUGUUCCUGCAAUGAUGUCUCCCUGUGCGUUCACUCUUUGACGAGGGUGCCCAAUUUUCAAGACAACACACACAAAGGAAGUUGAAUCUUGUGUGGCUUUGGCUCAAAACAUACUCCAUUUCCUUAAUUUCUAUUGGCUCAAGCAUACUGCAGCUAAAGCAAACCUAUUAAGUGUAAAUCCAACUGUGCUAUAUGCAGAUGGGAUAGUACAUAUCCCAAAGCAUAAACCAGAAGUGCAUUACUGAAUGAGCCACUACAAUUAAGAUUUUUUUUCCGGAUGCUGCAUGGAUUGCUGAUGAUCACAGAAACACACUUAUGGUAUCGAUUUGUUUCAUUUUGGCAGAAUAUUUAAUAAAAACAGAAUUGUAAGCAGUAAUCAUCUUUGUAAAGUUUCAUCUGUCCUGCAUUGGUCACACCUGAACGCUUGUAUUUUACAUGGAUGAUUGAUUACAAAACAAUCAAUGCAAGCCAGUUCAUUGCUUGCACACAAGAAACUAGAUUAGGUUCAAUUUAGUUCAGAAAAAUUGGAUUAGGUCCAAUUUAGUUUAGAAAAAUGAAUUAAAUCCAUACUAUUACUACCUCCGUUUCAUAUUACGAGUUACUUUGGUUUUGUUCUAAAUCAAUAGGUUCAAUUUUGACCAAGUCUAUAAAAAAGCGCUUUUGCUAUUCAUCAAACGCUUGAAAUUUUAGAAUUGGUCAGUCGAUUUUCUGGCUACUGGAUUUGUUUCAAGAUUCGUAUGCUAUUUGGGCCUUUUAAGGAUGCAAAAUUUGUGAGCGAGUUGCGCUGCCUAGCCCGUUAAUCCCCACCGCUACACCUCGCAUGA